rnacentral:rRNA from 1 species
CAAUAGCGUAUAUUUAAGUUGUUGCAGUUAAAAAGCUCGUAGUUGGAUUUCGGGUGGGACGCAGCGGUCUCGCAUUGCGUUUUUACUGCUGCAGCCCUCCUUCUUGCCGGGGGCGGCCUCUCGGACUUCACUGUCUGGGGGUCAGAAUCGGCGAUGUUACUUUGAGUAAAUUAGAGUGUUCAAAGCAAGCUUACGCUCUGAAUAUAAUAGCAUGGGAUAACACGACAGGACUCUGGCCUAUCGUGUUGGUCUAUAGGACCAGAGUAAUGAUUAAGAGGGACAGUCGGGGGCAUUCGUAUUCCGUUGUCAGAGGUGAAAUUCUUGGAUUUACGGAAGACGAACAUCUGCGAAAGCAUUUGCCAAGGAUGUUUUCAUUGA